GACGAACGCUGGCGGCGUGCUUAACACAUGCAAGUCGAACGGAAAGGCCCUGCUUUUGUGGGGUGCUCGAGUGGCGAACGGGUGAGUAACACGUGAGUAACCUGCCCUUGACUUUGGGAUAACUUCAGGAAACUGGGGCUAAUACCGGAUAGGAGCUCCUGCUGCAUGGUGGGGGUUGGAAUGUUUCGGCGGUUGGGGAUGGACUCGCGGCUUAUCAGCUUGUUGGUGGGGUAGUGGCUUACCAAGGCUUUGACGGGUAGCCGGCCUGAGAGGGUGACCGGCCACAUUGGGACUGAGAUACGGCCCAGACUCCUACUGGAGGCAGCAGUGGGGAAUAUUGCACAAUGGGCGGAAGCCUGAUGCAGCAACGCCGCGUGCGGGAUGACGGCCUUCGGGUUGUAAACCGCUUUCGCCUGUGACGAAGCGUGAGUGACGGUAAUGGGUAAAGAAGCACCGGCUAACUACGUG
rnacentral:rRNA from 1 species